rnacentral:rRNA from 1 species
UACGUAGGUGGCAAGCGUUGUCCGGAUUUAUUGGGUUUAAAGGGCGCGUAGGCGGCUUGACAAGUCACUUGUGAAAUCUCUGAGCUUAACUCAGAACGGCCAAGUGAAACUGUUGUGCUAGAGUGCAGAAGGGGCAAUCGGAAUUCUUGGUGUAGCGGUGAAAUGCGUAGAUAUCAAGAGGAACACCUGAGGUGAAGACGGGUUGCUGGGCUGACACUGACGCUGAUGCGCGAAAGCCAGGGGAGCAAACGGG